AGGCUUAACACAUGCAAGUCGAGGGGCAGCAUUUCAGUUUGCUUGCAAACUGGAGAUGGCGACCGGCGCACGGGUGAGUAACACGUAUCCAACCUGCCGAUAACUCGGGGAUAGCCUUUCGAAAGGAAGAUUAAUACCCGAUGGUAUAAUCAGACCGCAUGGUCUUAUUAUUAAAGAAUUUCGGUUAUCGAUGGGGAUGCGUUCCAUUAGGCAGUUGGUGAGGUAACGGCUCACCAAACCUUCGAUGGAUAGGGGUUCUGAGAGGAAGGUCCCCCACAUUGGAACUGAGACACGGUCCAAACUCCUACGGGAGGCAGCAGUGAGGAAUAUUGGUCAAUGGGCGCAGGCCUGAACCAGCCAAGUAGCGUGAAGGAUGACUGCCCUAUGGGUUGUAAACUUCUUUUAUAUGGGAAUAAAGUUUUCCACGUGUGGAAUUUUGUAUGUACCAUAUGAAUAAGGAUCGGCUAACUCCGUGCCAGCAGCCGCGGUAAUACGGAGGAUCCGAGCGUUAUCCGGAUUUAUUGGGUUUAAAGGGAGCGUAGGUGGACAGUUAAGUCAGUUGUGAAAGUUUGCGGCUCAACCGUAAAAUUGCAGUUGAUACUGGCUGUCUUGAGUACAGUAGAGGUGGGCGGAAUUCGUGGUGUAGCGGUGAAAUGCUUAGAUAUCACGAAGAACUCCGAUUGCGAAGGCAGCUCACUGGACUGCAACUGACACUGAUGCUCGAAAGUGUGGGUAUCAAACAGGAUUAGAUACCCUGGUAGUCCACACAGUAAACGAUGAAUACUCGCUGUUUGCGAUAUACAGUAAGCGGCCAAGCGAAAGCAUUAAGUAUUCCACCUGGGGAGUACGCCGGCAACGGUGAAACUCAAAGGAAUUGACGGGGGCCCGCACAAGCGGAGGAACAUGUGGUUUAAUUCGAUGAUACGCGAGGAACCUCACCCGGGCUUAAAUUGCAUUUGAAUAAUCUGGAAACGGGUUAGCCGCACGGCAAAUGUGAAGGUGCUGCAUGGUUGUCGUCAGCUCGUGCCGUGAGGUGUCGGCUUAAGUGCCAUAACGAGCGCAACCCUUAUCUUUAGUUACUAACAGGUCAUGCUGAGGACUCUAGAGAGACUGCCGUCGUAAGAUGUGAGGAAGGUGGGGAUGACGUCAAAUCAGCACGGCCCUUACGUCCGGGGCUACACACGUGUUACAAUGGGGGGUACAGAAGGCAGCUACCUGGUGACAGGAUGCUAAUCCCAAAAGCCUCUCUCAGUUCGGAUCGAAGUCUGCAACCCGACUUCGUGAAGCUGGAUUCGCUAGUAAUCGCGCAUCAGCCAUGGCGCGGUGAAUACGUUCCCGGGCCUUGUACACACCGCCCGUCAAGCCAUGAAAGCCGGGGGUACCUGAAGUACGUAACCGCAAGGAGCGUCCUAGGGUAAAACUGGUAAUUGGGGCUAAGUAG
rnacentral:rRNA from 1 species